GAACACAGUAAAACUUUUGUUUUGAGAUCUCAUCUGAUCUCAGAAGCUAAGUGGAGUAGGGCCUGAUUAGUACUUGAAUGGGAGGCCACCUCAGAACAACAGGUGCUGUUGUUU
rfam:Heterocephalus glaber contig99386, whole genome shotgun sequence.